GGUUUAAAUGAAACUAAUUACUAAAGUUGAAAUGAUACAGAAAAGAUCAUCUAGCUCCUGUGCAAGGAUGCAUGCAAAUUUGUGAAAUGUCCCACAUUUCU
rnacentral:snRNA from 1 species